rnacentral:lncRNA from 10 species
CUCGGCCUCCCAAAGUGCUGGGAUUACAGGCAUGAUCCACUGCGCCCUGCCUAGGGUCCCACUCUUAAAGAGGAGCAGACUAGCAAGAAUUUGAGAAAGUCUUUAAUAUGAAAGACAUCAAAACUAUGCUUAGUGUUCAUUAGCCAUGUUGCCCAGGCUUAAAACUUUUUAAGAAGUUUCUCCUCUUUUCUUGCAGGCAGGCUGGCACUGCUCUCUAGGGACCUGUUACUGGCAAUGCUUCCCCUUUUAAUUUGUAUCUUAUUUGGAAAGAGCUUCAAAAUUAGGUAGUUGAACUUGGUAACAAUAUACAACAGCAACACAUAGGCUAAGACUAAGGGAAAAAGAAGCUCACCUUUGAACAACCACAAGAGUUUUGAGUAAAGGGUCAUUCCUGUGUCAUGAAUAAGUGAGAGUACUGAAAAGCUCCAUUUCAAAUUGAUAUGUAUGAUUAUAUUUAAGCUGAUUCAAAAACACCUACUGACCAUCAAGCUCUAUAUGUAAUGCUGGAAGAGUUUCUUCCUCUCCAUUGAUAAACCAAUAAUUUCACUGUUUGUCUUGAGUCUUCAAAACUGCUGAUUUAUAAAGUCAAAGAGCGUCUAAGGAUAAAAGACAUUGAGAACAGAGACAUAGUAGCCCAGAAAGGCACUCUUCUAGCACUCUUCUGGUCCCACAUUUAUUCAUUCAAUAAAAAUUUAUUGAGCCACGCUGUUUCCA